rnacentral:rRNA from 1 species
AAGUCGUAACAAGGUUUCCCGUAGGUGAACCUGCGGAAGGAUCAUUAUUGAAAUAAACCUGAUGGGUUGUUGCUGGUUCUCUAGGGAGCAUGUGCACACCUUGUCAUCUUUAUAUCUCCACCUGUGCACCUUUUGUAGACCUUCCAGGUCUAUGUUGUUUCAUUUAUCCCAAUGUAUGUUAAUAGAAUGUUGUGCCUAUAAAAAUAAAUCUAUACAACUUUCAGCAACGGAUCUCUUGGCUCUCGCAUCGAUGAAGAACGCAGCGAAAUGCGAUAAGUAAUGUGAAUUGCAGAAUUCAGUGAAUCAUCGAAUCUUUGAACGCACCUUGCGCUCCUUGGUAUUCCGAGGAGCAUGCCUGUUUGAGUGUCAUUAAUAUAUAUAUCAACCCUUCUCUUGUUGAGAGAGUGGUGGUUUGGAUGUGGGGGUUUUGCUGGUCUUUUAAUGGGUUCAGCUCCUCUGAAAUGCAUUAGCAGAACAACCUGUUCAUUGGUGUGAUAACUAUCUACACUAUUGAAUAUGAGGGGCAGUUCAGCUUUCUAACAGUCUUCUGGACAAUUUAUCAUUUAUGUGACCUCAAAUCAGGUAGGACUACCCGCUGAACUUAA